rnacentral:rRNA from 1 species
AGUGAACGCUGGCGGUAGGCCUAACACAUGCAAGUCGAACGGCAGCACAGCAGUAGCAAUACUGUGGGUGGCGAGUGGCGGACGGGUGAGGAAUACAUCGGAAUCUACCUUUUCGUGGGGGAUAACGUAGGGAAACUUACGCUAAUACCGCAUACGACCUCAGGGUGAAAGUAGGGGAUCGCAAGACCUUACGCGGAUAGAUGAGCCGAUGUCGGAUUAGCAGUUGG